rnacentral:tRNA from 1 species
AGAAAGAUAAGCUAAAUAAGCUCAUAGGUUCAUACCCUAUUUAUGGAAUUCAUUCCUCUUUUUA